rnacentral:rRNA from 1 species
GAUUAGAUACCCUGGUAGUCCACGCUGUAAACGAUGUCGACUUGGAGGUUGUUCCCUUGAGGAGUGGCUUCCGGAGCUAACGCGUUAAGUCGACCGCCUGGGGAGUACGGCCGCAAGGUUAUAAACUCAAAUGAAUUGACGGGGGCCCGCACAAGCGGUGGAGCAUGUGGUUUAAUUCGAUGCAACGCGAAGAACCUUACCUACUCUUGACAUCCAGAGAACUUAGCAGAGAUGCUUUGGUGCCUUCGGGAACUCUGAGACAGGUGCUGCAUGGCUGUCGUCAGCUCGUGUUGUGAAAUGUUGGGUUAAGUCCCGCAACGAGCGCAACCCUUAUCCUUUGUUGCCAGCGNUCCGGCCGGGAACUCAAAGGAGACUGCCAGUGAUAAACUGGAGGAAGGUGGGGAUGACGUCAAGUCAUCAUGGCCCUUACGAGUAGGGCUACACACGUGCUACAAUGGCAUAUACAAAGAGAAGCGACCUCGCGAGAGCAAGCGGACCU